rnacentral:rRNA from 1 species
AGUGAACGCUGGCGGUAGGCCUAAUACAUGCAAGUCGAACGGCAGCACAGUAAGAGCUUGCUCUUACGGGUGGCGAGUGGCGGACGGGUGAGGAAUACAUCGGAAUCUACUUUUUCGUGGGGGAUAACGUAGGGAAACUUACGCUAAUACCGCAUACGACCUACGGGUGAAAGCAGGGGAUCUUCGGACCUUGCGCGAUUGAAUGAGCCGAUGUCGGAUUAGCUAGUUGGCGGGGUAAAGGCCCACCAAGGCGACGAUCCGUAGCUGGUCUGAGAGGAUGAUCAGCCACACUGGAACUGAGACACGGUCCAGACUCCUACGGGAGGCAGCAGUGGGGAAUAUUGGACAAUGGGCGCAAGCCUGAUCCAGCCAUACCGCGUGGGUGAAGAAGGCCUUCGGGUUGUAAAGCCCUUUUGUUGGGAAAGAAAAACAGCAGGUUAAUACCCCGCUGUUCUGACGGUACCCAAAGAAUAAGCACCGGCUAACUUCGUG